GAUGAACGCUGGCGGCGUGCCUAAUACAUGCAAGUCGAGCGAACAGACGAGGAGCUUGCUCCUCUGACGUUAGCGGCGGACGGGUGAGUAACACGUGGAUAACCUACCUAUAAGACUGGGAUAACUUCGGGAAACCGGAGCUAAUACCGGAUAAUAUAUUGAACCGCAUGGUUCAAUAGUGAAAGACGGUUUUGCUGUCACUUAUAGAUGGAUCCGCGCCGCAUUAGCUAGUUGGUAAGGUAACGGCUUACCAAGGCAACGAUGCGUAGCCGACCUGAGAGGUUGAUCGGCCACACUGGAACUGAGACACGGUCCAGACUCCUACGGGAGGCAGCAGUAGGGAAUCUUCCGCAAUGGGCGAAAGCCUGACGGAGCAACGCCGCGUGAGUGAUGAAGGUCUUCGGAUCGUAAAACUCUGUUAUUAGGGAAGAACAAAUGUGUAAGUAACUAUGCACGUCUUGACGGUUCCUAAUCAGAAAGCCACGGCUAACUACGUG
rnacentral:rRNA from 1 species